UUUACGUUCCUUUUUUGGUGAGGAAAGAAACAAUGCCGGUAAUGCUGAUUUGUGUCUUCGUGAAUAUUUUGUAAAUUAGAUGUUACUUUACUGGUGUCAAUGAAAAAAAAAGAUACAAUAAUGCGUAAACUAAUUUCAGUUAUCUAGUUAACGUUCGCUGCAGAAGGGCAGUGGCGGGCUCGUUGCUCUGGAUGCUGUCGCGAUCGGGUCCCACAGAGGUGGAAAUACCCGCCAUUGCGUCAACAGCAUCUGCGGUCUUCGACCACGGACUACAGCCUGGCCCGCGACGACCACUCGGACGUCCCCUUGUUCGAGCGCAUGAUCAGGAGCGGUGUGCGUUGCGAGACACUGAAGGCGGGGUGUCGGAUGAAGCUGCUCGUGCCGACCGUCCGCCCCCCAGGUCCCAAGUGGACGACCGCGAGUCCGCGACGAGACACGGGGCGCUGACAAGAGCACGGUCAUCACACACAACCACCCCGAGCAGAUGGUGGACAUCCGGCUGCAGUUUUCCUUGCUUCGAGAAGUGCACGCACAGUUGUGAGCACGGUAAAUGCGGCCAUGGGUGUGGACAGCGAUGCACAUCUUGUCAGGCAGCUGCCCUGCUGACCCUGACGGGCUGGUCACAUGACCGCAUGGUGACGGUGGCCUCGUGUCGCGUUGUAGUUUCCCGUUUACUCUCACAGAAAAACAUGCCUUGAUUUACUAUUUCAAAGCAGUGUAGCAGAGCUUGCGAGCACAGUCACAGUACCCGGCCGUGCCUGCAGCCGUGUAAGAGUCGUCUGUCCUGCGGUGAUUCGUGUCCCGUGAUCGAGACUUGGCAGUGGGAAUCUUGGAAAGCACGGACUUCGAACAUGCCAGGCCGGUCGUCCUGGGAGCUCGCCAGUGGGACGCAUGGCCCACGCAUCGUGAAGACGCAGCGAUGCAGGACCUGCCACCACGUCGCCAUGGCUACCGAGAAGCUGUACCAGCCCAGCUGAUGAAGACUCUUGUCUCUGGCAGCAUGAAGGUCUUGAUCGGUUUUGGCAAGUUACAAUAAUGUUAAGCCACUUGGCCUACCAAUUGCAGGCAACCAAAGGAGCCAGAAGGGUGGAUCUGGUGAAGAGCUGCCUGAGACAAGAUCAUUUACCAGGAGGUGUGUUACCUGAAUUGGUAGUUGUAGUACGUAAAGAGCAGUUGCUAGCUGAGCUUUUGUGUGGAACACGGCCAGGUUCCAGGGCUCUGGAGCCUCCCGGAGGUACAUUGUUGCCUGCAGCACCAGCCGUCAAGGCCAAGCCUUAACUGUGCUGUAACAUGUGAAGAGUGUUGAACAGCAUUUCAGGAUUAUUGCCACCUGAGAGGUGAAUCCGUCCUGUAUUUUUAAUUUCUGUCAUCAGAUCAUAAAUAUUGCAUCAGUUCAUUAAAAAUGUAUCAUAAUGAUCUUUAGGUAAUGUAGUUACAUAUGUUCAUUAAAAUUUUUUGCUGCACCUAGAAAACAAUGUAUAUAUGUAUGAGUCAAUAAAAUUCUGUAUGCCAAAGGCUAAA